GACUUGUUACCUCCGGUCCACCCCGCUAGGGCCGACAAAGAUGAUGUGAUGACCCUCAGUGCCUGCUUAAGCUGGCCCUUGCUUUGGCCGAAGAGCCAGAUUUGUUUGGGGGCGGUGGACACCACCCCACAGACAACACCACCAGUCGUGCCGGUGCCAAGCCAUGGCAAGACCGCCGCAACACUACCGGACAUGCAUAUGGCACAGG
rnacentral:lncRNA from 1 species